UAGAGCAAGUUGUUGAAGGAAGUGUUUCUACUUGACGUUACAAUAUUUCAUGGAUGCAAGCAAGCCAAGACAAUCAAUCUAUAUCUAUAGCCUACAUGAUAACACACACACACACGCACACACUUUAAACACACUGGUAAAGCAAUAGGAGCCUGCAUUGGCUAAAGUUGUUGGGAUGCACGUUAUUUUAUAACAGGGAGGGGCAAAGUUGUGCAUUACAAUGCAAACACGACAAUAACUGGCACCGUUCUUGCGCACUCAGAAGAACAUGAACUGAAUAAAUGCCAGGUAUAUAGCAUAUCGGAGACGGGCACACAAUCAGUGCAUUUGCAAAUGAGAGCCUGCAGUAUGACCGAUCUUGUGACAUUAUUUAACCAUCCAUCUACAGCUAAUACGAUCAGACAGAUACAUCAUUGAUCACAUAUAAGCCCACAACAAGCCCAACAUCACCACGGCAGGUGCGCUCUCUCUCGCACAUUCACACAAUCACUCCAACUUCUCCAACUCCAAGGCAAGGCUGUUUCACUAAGACCACAAACAACCACAACUAACCAGCCUACAUAUCCACAACAAUGCGCAACAAUCAGUUCAUUGCGUCUAUCUUCUGUUUGGCGCACAUGGCUAAUUUGCAUACUUGCACAGGACUGUCGGCUCCGCUUGUCAAAAAAAUAGAACGUAUUUGUGAAUAAAUGCUUUGAAUUCUGAAUACUGGACUUGGUGAGCUUAAAUAGGCUACAUUUAAGACUUAUAGCCUACUUGUAGUGAAGUAUUUUUAACAGUGUGUGGAAUCUACAGCUGAUCACUUUCACUGGCUAAGCAAAAUGAAUCCCGAACAGUUGAACCUCUGAAUUGAUCCUGAAAGCCUAUGUCCUAGAAUAAUUCAUUUGUAUUCCGUUUUAGGCCAUCUCACUAAAGGUCACUUAAAUGUAGCCUAUUUAAGCUCACCAAGUCCAGUAUUCAGAAUUCAAAGCAUUUAUUCACAAAUACGUUCUAUUUUUUUGACAAGCGGAGCCGACAGUCCUGUGCAAGUAUGCAAAUUAGCCAUGUGCGCCAAACAGAAGAUAGACGCAAUGAACUGAUUGUUGCGCAUUGUUGUGGAUAUGUAGGCUGGUUAGUUGUGGUUGUUUGUGGUCUUAGUGAAACAGCCUUGCCUUGGAGUUGGAGAAGUUGGAGUGAUUGUGUGAAUGUGCGAGAGAGAGCGCACCUGCCGUGGUGAUGUUGGGCUUGUUGUGGGCUUAUAUGUGAUCAAUGAUGUAUCUGUCUGAUCGUAUUAGCUGUAGAUGGAUGGUUAAAUAAUGUCACAAGAUCGGUCAUACUGCAGGCUCUCAUUUGCAAAUGCACUGAUUGUGUGCCCGUCUCCGA